rnacentral:lncRNA from 1 species
CGUUGAAGGAACACACGUAACUUAUGUCAUGUUUAUAUCGAUUAUUUGAUUAACCAUUAUGUGAUAUUUAAUCAUAUUCUUCGAAAUUAAUUGUAUUUUCUUUAUUAUUUAGUUAAUCAAAUGUCAAACAUUACAAAAUUUGAGUUUGCUGCACUUUACAUAUCUAGCAAAAACUAUCUAUCAUGGAUGCUCGAUGCUGAUAUCUAUCUUGUCUCAAAAGGUUUGGGAGAUAUAAUAAAAGAAGGAAACAAGUAAUUCCUGUAGGAUUGUGCAUGCAUCUUUGUUCGCCGUCAUCUGUAAGAUAGAUUGAAAAUUGAAUAUCUCACUGAAAAAGAUCUAUAGUUUAUUUGAAAAAAUUAACUCAGAGAUUUGAUCAUCAGGGGACUAUAGUUCUCUCCAAAGCCCACUAUGAGUAGAUACACCUUCGUUUGCAAGACUUCAAAACUUCUAGUGAGUACAAUUCUAAACUGUUCAAAAUUAACCUUUUGUAGAAGAAAAACACCGAUGCAGAUAUGUUGUAGAAAACUUUUUCCACAUUUCACGCAUCAAAUGUGCUCCUACAGCAACAAUAUUGUGAGCGUGAUUCAAAACGUACUCAGAACUUAUAUCUUGCUUACUUUUUGUUGGAGAGAAUAAUGAACUCCUGAUGAAAAAUCAUGGAUUACGUUCAAGUGGUUCUGUACCAUUGCCUGAAGCUAUACAUGGAUAAUAUCAAGACAAGAAUGUGGAUGUGGACGUGCACGUGGAAUAAACCAACAAAAUUAUCAACUACAAGGCAAUUAUUUCAAGAGGCACAAAACAAACGAAAAUAGCACAUCCAAAAAGUGGGUAGAAGAAAGUCGCUUUAAAUGUGGAACGAAUGGGCAUUGGACAUGUACCCAUCGCACAGCAAAAUAUCUUGUAGAUCUCUACAAAAAAUCAAUCAAGAGAAAGAGAAAAAUUGAGACAAAUUUUGUUGACUAUGAUGAUUCAAUUGAUGUGAUUCAUUUGAAUGUCUCCGAUUUUUUUGUUUAUCCAAAUGAGAAUAUUAAUCAUUUGAUUGGAGGUGGUGUGAUGGAAAAUAUAGAUUAGUUUAUUUAUAUCUCUAACAUUUUUAUUUUUAUUUUAGAGAUUUAGUUUGAAAUAUGAUUUUACUUUUCGC